UACGGAGGGUGCAAGCGUUAUCCGGAUUCACUGGGUUUAAAGGGUGCGUAGGUGGGCAGGUAAGUCAGUGGUGAAAUCUCCGGGCUUAACCCGGAAACUGCCGUUGAUACUAUUUGUCUUGAAUAUUGUGGAGGUAAGCGGAAUAUGUCAUGUAGCGGUGAAAUGCUUAGAUAUGACAUAGAACACCAAUUGCGAAGGCAGCUUACUACACAACGAUUGACGCUGAGGCACGAAAGCGUGGGGAUCGAACAGG
rnacentral:rRNA from 1 species